rnacentral:rRNA from 1 species
GGAGUCAGACUGCACGAGAUAAGUUGGGUAGUCAAAAGGGAAAGAGCCCAGACCUACAGCUAAGGUCCCAAAGUGCGUGUUAAGUGGAAAAGGAUGUGGGAUUUCGAAGACAACUAGGAUGUUGGCUCAGAAGCAGCCAUACAUUCAAAGAGUGCGUAAUAGCUCACUAGUCGAGAGGUCCUGCGCCGAAAAUGUCCGGGGCUAAAACACGACACCGAAGCUUAGGAAUACAUGCAAAUGUAUUGGUAGAGGAGCAAUCUUAACGGGAAGAAGCAGUACUGUAAGGUGCUGUGGACUGUUAAGAAGAGAGAAUGCCGGAAUGAGUAGCGAGAUGGAGGUGGGAAUCCUCCAGGCCGAAUAUCCAAGGUUUCCAGGGUAAAGCUGAUCUGCCCUGGGGAAGUCGGGGCCUAAGGCGAGGUCGAAAGACGUAGCUGAUGGACAACAGGUUGAUAUUCCUGUACUAUCAUAUGACAGAACUGUGGGGACGCAGAAAGAGAGCCUGAGCCGGGAAAGGGAAAACCGGUGCAAGCGGGGUAGGAGUCGUGCAGGCAAAUCCGCACGGCAAUCCGAAGACGUGAAGCGGAGCGAACUAAAGUAGCGAAGCAGGUGAGCUGGCUGCCAAGAAAAGCCGCUAUUGUUCAUAUGAUACCCGUACCGUAAACCGACACAGGUGGAUGAGGAGAGAAUCCUAAGGCCGGCGGGAGAAGCAUUGUUAAGGAACUCGGCAAAAUGACCCCGUAACUUCGGGAGAAGGGGUGCCUGCGAGAGCAGGCCGCAGAGAAUAGGCUCAAGCAACUGUUUAGCAAAAACACAGGUCUAUGCGAAACCGAAAGGUGAGGUAUAUGGGCUGACGCCUGCCCGGUGCUGGAAGGUUAAGAGGAGAGGUUAGCGCAAGCGAAGCUUUGAAUUUAAGCCCCAGUAAACGGCGGCCGUAACUAUAACGGUCCUAAGGUAGCGAAAUUCCUUGUCGGGUAAGUUCCGACCCGCACGAAAGGCGUAAUGAUUUGAGCACUGUCUCGACAAUGCAUCCGGUGAAAUUGAAGUACCAGUGAAGAUGCUGGUUACCUGCGCCAGGACGGAAAGACCCCAUGGAGCUUUACUCCAGUUUGGUACUGGGGUCCGGUAUUGCAUGUACAGGAUAGGUGGGAGGCUAUGAAAUGGUAACGCCAGUUGCCAUGGAGCCGCUGUUGGGAUACCACCCUUGCAGUAUUGGGUUUCUAACCAGCCGCCGUGACCCGGCGGUGGGACAAUGCCAGACGGGGAGUUUGACUGGGGCGGUCGCCUCCGAAAGGGUAUCGGAGGCGCCCAAAGGUUCCCUCAGAAUGGACGGAAACCAUUCGAAGAGUGCAAAGGCAGAAGGGAGCUUGACUGCGACACCGACGGGUGGAGCA